AUGAACGCUAGCUACAGGCUUAACACAUGCAAGUCGAGGGGCAGCAUUUUAGUUUGCUUGCAAACUGAAGAUGGCGACCGGCGCACGGGUGAGUAACACGUAUCCAACCUGCCGAUAACUCCGGAAUAGCCUUUCGAAAGAAAGAUUAAUACCGGAUAGCAUACGAAUAUCGCAUGAUAUUUUUAUUAAAGAAUUUCGGUUAUCGAUGGGGAUGCGUUCCAUUAGUUUGUUGGCGGGGUAACGGCCCACCAAGACUACGAUGGAUAGGGGUUCUGAGAGGAAGGUCCCCCACAUUGGAACUGAGACACGGUCCAAACUCCUACGGGAGGCAGCAGUGAGGAAUAUUGGUCAAUGGGCGAGAGCCUGAACCAGCCAAGUAGCGUGAAGGAUGAAGGCUCUAUGGGUCGUAAACUUCUUUUAUAUGGGAAUAAAGUUUUCCACGUGUGGAAUUUUGUAUGUACCAUAUGAAUAAGGAUCGGCUAACUCCGUGCCAGCAGCCGCGGUAAUACGGAGGAUCCGAGCGUUAUCCGGAUUUAUUGGGUUUAAAGGGAGCGUAGGUGGAUUGUUAAGUCAGUUGUGAAAGUUUGCGGCUCAACCGUAAAAUUGCAGUUGAAACUGGCAGUCUUGAGUACAGUAGAGGUGGGCGGAAUUCGUGGUGUAGCGGUGAAAUGCUUAGAUAUCACGAAGAACUCCGAUUGCGAAGGCAGCUCACUAGACUGUCACUGACACUGAUGCUCGAAAGUGUGGGUAUCAAACAGGAUUAGAUACCCUGGUAGUCCACACAGUAAACGAUGAAUACUCGCUGUUUGCGAUAUACAGUAAGCGGCCAAGCGAAAGCAUUAAGUAUUCCACCUGGGGAGUACGCCGGCAACGGUGAAACUCAAAGGAAUUGACGGGGGCCCGCACAAGCGGAGGAACAUGUGGUUUAAUUCGAUGAUACGCGAGGAACCUUACCCGGGCUUAAAUUGCAACAGAAUAUAUUGGAAACAGUAUAGCCGUAAGGCUGUUGUGAAGGUGCUGCAUGGUUGUCGUCAGCUCGUGCCGUGAGGUGUCGGCUUAAGUGCCAUAACGAGCGCAACCCUUAUCUUUAGUUACUAACAGGUGAUGCUGAGGACUCUAGAGAGACUGCCGUCGUAAGGUGUGAGGAAGGUGGGGAUGACGUCAAAUCAGCACGGCCCUUACGUCCGGGGCUACACACGUGUUACAAUGGGGGGUACAGAAGGCGGCUACCUGGUGACAGGAUGCUAAUCCCAAAAACCUCUCUCAGUUCGGAUCGAAGUCUGCAACCCGACUUCGUGAAGCUGGAUUCGCUAGUAAUCGCGCAUCAGCCAUGGCGCGGUGAAUACGUUCCCGGGCCUUGUACACACCGCCCGUCAAGCCAUGAAAGCCGGGGGUACCUGAAGUACGUAACCGCAAGGAGCGUCCUAGGGUAAAACUGGUAAUUGGGGCU
rnacentral:rRNA from 1 species